UACGUAGGGACCGAGCGUUGUCCGGAAUCAUUGGGCGUAAAGAGCGUGUAGGCGGCCAACUAAGUCCUGCGUGAAAUCUCGGGGCUCAACCCCGAGCGGUCGUGGGAAACUGGUUGGCUAGAGUGCGGGAGAGGAGAGUGGAAUUCCUGGUGUAGCGGUGAAAUGCGCAGAUAUCAGGAGGAACACCGGUGGCGAAGGCGGGUCUCUGGGCAACAACUGACGCUGAGGAGCGAAAGCGUGGGGAGCGAACAGG
rnacentral:rRNA from 1 species